rnacentral:rRNA from 1 species
AACGAACGCUGGCGGCAGGCCUAACACAUGCAAGUCGAACGCCCCGCAAGGGGAGUGGCGCACGGGUGAGUAAUGCGUGGGAACGUACCCAGCAGUACGGAAUAACCCAGGGAAACCUGGGCUAAUACCGUAUACGUCCUAAGGGAGAAAGAUUUAUCGCUGUUGGAGCGGCCCACGUCGGAUUAGCUAGUUGGUGAGGUAACGGCCCACCAAGGCUACGAUCCGUAGCUGGUCUGAGAGGACGACCAGCCACACUGGGACUGAGACACGGCCCAGACUCCUACGGGAGGCAGCAGUGGGGAAUAUUGGACAAUGGGGGCAACCCUGAUCCAGCCAUGCCGCGUGAGUGAUGAAGGCCUUAGGGUUGUAAAGCUCUUUCGACGGGGACGAUAAUGACGGUACCCGUAGAAGAAGCCCCGGCUAACUCCGUGCCAGCAGCCGCCGUAA